rnacentral:rRNA from 1 species
AUUGAACGCUGGCGGCAGGCCUAACACAUGCAAGUCGAACGAGUGGCGGACGGGUGAGUAAUGUCUGGGAAACUGCCCGAUGGAGGGGGAUAACUACUGGAAAAGGUAGCUAAUACCGCAUACCAUCGGAUGUGCCCAGAUGGGAUUGGCUAGUAGGGGGGGUAAAGGCUCACCUGGGCGACGAUCCCUAGCUGGUCUGAGAGGAUGACCAGCCACACUGUGACUGAGACACGGUCCAGACUCCUACGAGAGGCAGCAGUGGGGAAUAUUGCACAAUGGGCGCAAGCCUGAUGCAGCCAUGCCGCGUGUGUGAAGAAGGCCUUCGGGUUGUAAAGCACUUUCAGCGGGGAGGCGUUACCAGCAGAAGAAGCACCGGCUAACUCCGUGCCAGCAGCCGCGGUAAUUC